rnacentral:rRNA from 1 species
GUGGGGAAUAUUGGACAAUGGGGGGAACCCUGAUCCAGCCAUGCCGCGUGUGUGAAGAAGGCCUUUUGGUUGUAGAGCACUUUAAGCGAGGAGGAGGCUACCGAGCUUAAUACUCUUGGAUAGUGGACGUUACUCGCAGAAUAAGCACCGGCUAACUCUGUGCCAGCAGCCGCGGUAAUACAGAGGGUGCAAGCGUUAAUCGGAUUUACUGGGCGUAAAGCGCGCGUAGGUGGCCAAUUAAGUCAAAUGUGAAAUCCCCGAGCUUAACUUGGGAAUUGCAUUCGAUACUGGUUGGCUAGAGUAUGGGAGAGGAUGGUAGAAUUCCAGGUGUAGCGGUGAAAUGCGUAGAGAUCUGGAGGAAUACCGAUGGCGAAGGCAGCCAUCUGGCCUAAUACUGACACUGAGGUGCGAAAGCAUGGGGAGCAAACAGGAUUAGAAACCCCAGUAGUCC